AGCGAACGCAAUACCGCCCCCGCUGCUCCGAUUCUCCGGCCAAUCUCACGCUCCAUAGUUCCCUCACUUGCGAACAAGACCCCGAGGUACUUGAACUCCUUCACUUGGGCAAACUAAACACGUAACGCAUAAUACAAUCAAUGGCAAUGUCUAUUACCGCGGGGACACAUGCAUAUUAGGAUAGCAUACAAUACUAAGAAACAAUGUUUAUAAUGUAUUGCGUAUAUCAUUAAAUAGAACCACAGUUACCGCAUAUCAUAUGUUAUAGCCUAUCAUACGUUUUCUUUGCCGAAAUUUAUUUGAGGACUCAGUAUUUCUGAAGUUGUGGAAGAAAACCCCUUAUUCCAUGUGUGAAUUAGGCCACAUUAUUUG
ensembl:lncRNA